rnacentral:rRNA from 1 species
UACGAAGGUCCCAAGCGUUGUUCGGAAUCACUGGGCGUAAAGGGAGCGUAGGCGGCGUGGUAAGUCAGAUGUGAAAUCCCGGGGCUCAACCCCGGAACUGCAUCCGAUACUGCCAUGCUAGAGGAUUGGAGAGGUAGCUGGAAUUCUUGGUGUAGCGGUGAAAUGCGCAGAUAUCAGGAGGAACACCAAUUGCGAAGGCAGCUCGCUGGGACGUUACUGACGCUGAGACGCGAAAGCGUGGGGAGCAAACAGG